rnacentral:rRNA from 1 species
GGGAUAUUGGGCAUGGGCGAAGCCUGACCCAGCAACGCCGCGCUGUAGGGAAGAAGGUUUUCGGAUCGUAAACCUCUGUCCUUGGUGAAGAGAAGAAGACGGUAGCCAAGGAGGAAGCCCCGGCUAACUACGUGCCAGCAGCCGCGGUAAUACGUAGGGGGCAAGCGUUGUCCGGAAUGAUUGGGCGUAAAGGGCGCGUAGGCGGCCUGUUAAGUCUGGAGUGAAAGUCCUGCUUUUAAGGUGGGAAUUGCUUUGGAAACUGGCGGGCUGGAGUGCAGGAGAGGUUAGUGGAAUUCCCGGUGUAGCGGUGAAAUGCGUAGAGAUCGGGAGGAACACCAGUGGCGAAGGCGACUAACUGGACUGUAACUGACGCUGAAGCGCGAAAGUGUGGGGAGCAACAGGAUUAGAUACUCUGGUAGUCCACACGGUAACGAUGAAUGCUAUGUGUAGGGUGUAUCGACCCAUAUGGUAGACGGGGGCCCGCACAAGCAGCGGAGCAUGUGGUUUAAUUCGAAGCAACGCGAAGAACCUUACCAGGUCUUGACAUCCAGUAAAAACUGUCGAGAGGCAGUGUCCCUUCGGGGGUACUGAGACAGGUGGUGCAUGGUUGUCGUCAGCUCGUGUCGUGAGAUGUUGGGUUAAGUCCCGCAACGAGCGCAACCCUUAUUUUUAGUUACUAACGGGUAAAGCCGAGGACUCUAAAGAGACUGCCGGGGACAACUCGGAGGAAGGUGGGGACGACGUCAAAUCAUCAUGCCCCUUAUGACCUGGGCUACACACGUGCUACAAUGGCUACUACAAAGAGGAGCAAGCCCGCAAGGGGGAGCGGAUCUGAGAAAAGUAGUCCCAGUUCGGAUCGUGGGCUGCAACCCGCCCACGUGAAGUUGGAGUUGCUAGUAAUCGCGGAUCAGCAUGCCGCGGUGAAUACGUUCCCGGGCCUUGUACACACCGCC